AGGAUAAACGCUGGCGGCGUGCAUGAGACAUGCAAGUCGAACGGACGAUCAGGGCUUGCUCUGAUCGUUAGUGGCGGACGGCUGAGUAACGCGUAGGUGACCUGCCCCGAAGUGGGGGAUAACUGCCCGAAAGGGUGGCUAAUACCGCAUGUGGUGGUUCGUUCAUUCGAACCAUCAAAGCAGCAAUGCGCUUCGGGAGGGGCCUGCGUCCGAUUAGCUCGUUGGUGGGGUAACGGCUCACCAAGGCGACGAUCGGUAGGUGGUCUGAGAGGACGAUCACCCAGACUGGGACUGAGACACGGCCCAGACUCCUACGGGAGGCAGCAGUCGGGAAUUUUGCGCAAUGGGCGAAAGCCUAACGCAGCAACGCCGCGUGAGGGAUGAAGGCCUUCGGGUUGUAAACCUCUUUUUCAGGGACGAUAAUGACGGUACCUGACGAAUAAGUCACGGCUAACUACGUGCCAGCAGCCGC
rnacentral:rRNA from 1 species